UACGGGGGGGUGCGAGCGUUGUCCGGAAUCACUGGGCGUAAAGGGCGCGUAGGUGGUUUGAUAAGGGUGUGGUGAAAGCCCGGGGCUCAACCCCGGGUCUGCCGUGCCGACUGUCAAACUCGAGGGCUGUAGAGGCAGACGGAAUUCCGGGUGUAGCGGUGGAAUGCGUAGAGAUCCGGAGGAAGACCGGUGGCGAAGGCGGUCUGCUGGGCAGUUUCUGACACUGAUGCGCGACAGCGUGGGGGAGCAAACAGG
rnacentral:rRNA from 1 species